UACGUAGGCAGCAAGCGUUGUUCGGAUUUACUGGGCGUAAAGAGUGCGUAGGCGGUCCUGUAAGUUUGGUGUGAAAUCUCCCGGCUCAACUGGGAGGGUGCGCCGAAGACUGCAGGGCUUGAGUAUGGGAGAGGUAAGCGGAAUUCCUGGUGUAGCGGUGAAAUGCGUAGAUAUCAGGAGGAACACCUGUGGUGUAGACAGCUUACUGGACCAUCACUGACGCUGAGGCACGAAAGCGUGGGUAGCAAACAGG
rnacentral:rRNA from 1 species